AAGAAAAAAUUUAUUAAAGGUGUAUUUGUUUAAUAAUAUUUUAAUAAAGUAAUUUAAUAUGAUUUAUAGUUUUAGUAUAAAUAUAUGAAUAAAUUUUUGUAAUGAUAGUUAAUUAGUACUGAAAAGGAAUAUUGAAAUAUAUAAAAAUUAUUUUAUUAAGAAGCAGGUUUAAUACUGUACCUUGUGUAUCAGGGUUUAUUAAAUUAAUAAUAUGAAUUUAUUAUUCCCGAAUUAAGAAGAUCUAAUAUAUUAUGUUAGUUAAUAUGGAAUAAUUAUUAAUAAUAUUAUAUUUGGAAUGAAAUGUUUCCGAUUCUUAGGAUAUCUGGUUUUUUAAGAAAUAAAUUUAAUUUAGUUUAAAUUUUGUAUAAAUAUUUAAUUGAUGUAAAUUUAUUAUAAGAUUUAAGUAAUAGUUUAGGGGAUAAGCUCUAAAUUAUCAGAUUAAAAAUUUUUGUGAGGUUAGUUAGUUGUAGGCUUUAAAUUAGUUAUCAAUUAAGAAAUUGUUAUAAAUUAUUAAGACUUUUUUAGAUAAUUUAUUGAAGGAUUUAAUUUGUUUAUUAAAAUGUCUUAUAGAAUGAUUAUAUAAGAUUAAUUUUGAUAAAAUUAGUAUACUAUUUUUGUGAAUAUAUUUAAAUUAUUAAUUUAUAUAAAGGAAUUCGGCAAAUAUUUUACUCGCCUGUUUAACAAAAACAUGUCUUUUUGAGAUUUAUUUAAAGUCGGGCCUGCCCACUGAUUUACAUUGAAGGGCCGCGGUAUCUUGACCGUGCAAAGGUAGCAUAAUCAUUAGUCUUUUAAUUAAAGGCUGGAAUGAAUGGUUUGACGAAGUAAAAGCUGUCUCUGUAUAAUUUGUAGAAUUUGUCUUUUUAGUUAAAAGACUAAAAUGAAAAUAAGGGACGAGAAGACCCUAUAGAGCUUUAUUUAAAUAUGUAAUAUAUAUAUUUAAGGUGUAUUAUUAAUUUAUAGCAUAUUUAUAUUGUGUUGGGGUGACAUAAAGAUAUAAAUAACUCUUUAUUUAACAAACAUAAAUUUAUGGGUGUUUGAUCCAGUAUUAUUGAUUAAAAGAUAAAGUUACCUUAGGGAUAACAGCGUAAUCCUUCUUGAGAGUUCACAUCGAAAGAGGGGUUUGCGACCUCGAUGUUGGAUUAAGAAAAUGAUUAAAUGCAGUAGUUUAAUUAAUAGGUCUGUUCGACCUUUAAAUUCUUACAUGAUCUGAGUUCAGACCGGCGUGAGCCAGGUCGGUUUCUAUCUUUGUUUUAAGAAAAUAUUUUAGUACGAAAGGACCAAAUAUAAGAAAUAAUUUUUAAUAUUAGAAUAUUAUUAAAUAAA
rnacentral:rRNA from 1 species